rfam:Naegleria gruberi genomic scaffold NAEGRscaffold_88, whole genome shotgun sequence.
CCGGUGAUAGCUCAGCUGGUAGAGCAUGGUACUGUAGUUGUAACAGUUCUCCCGUGGUCGGCGGUUCGAGUCCGUCUCGUCGGA